GAUGAAGAACGUAGCGAAAUGCGAAAAGUAAUGUGAAUUGCAGAAUUCAGUGAAUCAUCGAAUCUUUGAACGCACAUUGCGCCCGCCAGUAUUCUGGCGGGCAUGCCUGUCUGAGCGUCAUUUCAACCCUCAUGCCCCUAGGGCGUGGUGUUGGGGAUCGGCCAGCGCCCGCGAGGGACGGCCGGCCCCUAAAUCUAGUGGCGGACCCGUCGUGGCCUCCCCUGCGAAGUAGUGAUAUUCCGCAUAGGAGAGCGACGAGCCCCUGCCGUUAAACCCCCAACUUUCUAAGGUUGACCACAGAUCAGGUAGGAAUACCCGCUGAACUUAAGCAUAUCAAUAAGCGGAGGA
rnacentral:misc_RNA from 1 species